GUCCGAGUGGUUGAAGGAGCACGCCUGGAAAGUGUGUAUACGGUCAAACGUAUCGCGGGUUCGACAAAUUCGUCUGGAACGAAUUUGGACAGCCGCAGGCU
rnacentral:tRNA from 2 species